AACGGCCGUACCAUGCUGAAUAUACCGGUUCUCGUUAGAUCACCGAAGUUAUGCAUCAUUGGGCGCGGUCAGUACUUGGGUGGGUGACCACCUGGGAACACUGCGUGCCGUU
rnacentral:rRNA from 1 species